rnacentral:lncRNA from 14 species
CCCCCCCUCCGCAAUUCAGGGCUCUGACCAGUCAGUCGCCUUUGAUUAUCAGUUGCCAGCAGCCCUUCUCUUGGCUCCUUGACACGCGCUCCAUAUAAGGCAGCUAUCUCCAUAGAAACGUGUCAGUUUCAAUAGUAGUGUCAAAGUUCACUAUAUACAGACAUUUCGAGCAGAUCCCCCUUUCGGAAACAUUGCUCUGCUAGGCUUUCCGUUUAAACGCAUUCAUUUUUUGGGUCUCUCUCUCCCUCUCUCUCCCUCUUCCCUCCCCCCCCGCCUUGCAUAUUCUAUUAGUUGUGUGCUUUUCCCCCCUCUCUCUCUCCCCCUUCAUCUCCCUCUUCUCCUUCCUUUUCUUCUUUUUUUCCACCCUUCCUCCUUGUGUCUUUCACUUCAUUGCUGCAGGAGAAGAGGAGAGAGAGGAGAAGAGAAGAAGGAAGGGGCAAGAAAGAGGAAAAGAAGAGGAUUUAUUUACCCGACCUACUUUGGAUCUCUCUUUUUCCUGCGCCGUGUCAUUAUUAUUCCCGUCCUCUAUUUUUACACUUCGCCGUGAAUUCGUCUCUGCGAAUUCAGUCACAUCCGAUUUUUUUUUUGAGAAUUUUUUUCCUCUUUUUUUAAAAAAAAAAAGGCGAGAGGGAGCUCGAGCGAGAGAGAGAGAGACAGAGAGCGAGAGAGAGCAGCUCGGGAGAGAAAGAGCAGCGACCGGCAACCUCCUCCUCCGCCACCGUCGCCGCGACAGGAGAUCAAACUGCUUCAGCUCCCAGCCCGCCUCCGCCGCGCUCCCCGGCCCCGCCGCCCUGCAUGGCUGACGGCUCCCUGCCCUGGACCUGGCCCCCGGACACCUCUAUGCCCUGAUCUCCGGCCGACGGCUCCUCUCAGCACCUCCCGCCUCCCCGAUCACCGGCAGCGGGAACAGCCUCUGCGGGAGCGGCGGCGGCUGCCGGGCCCGGCAGCGGCGAGCGACGAACGGCGACCUCCUCCUCCUCCACCUCCUCCUCCUCCUCCUCUUCCUUCUCCUCCUCCUCCUCCUCCUCCUCCUCGGCGGCGCCGCGGCUUCCUCUAUGCCCGCACAUCCUCCGCGCUCGUAGCGCCCGGACCGCGUGUGUGCCCGUGCCCGUGUGCGUGUGCGCGAGUGGGGGAA